CUGAGGAGGAGACACUGCCAACUGCCACCAUGAUAAGCAGCAUGUGAAGAUGCCGUCCUAGGAGCUGGAAUGAAUUCAAGCUCAAGUCAACAUACCCAGGAAGGAUCUGAGACACAGCAAGAUGGGUGACUCAUCCAAGGUCAGGAAGAAGGGAGGUGACAUGUAAGAAGAAAAGAAACAGUGCGUAAGUAAUUCCUCAGUAGGUUUCAGAAAGAUUUAGGCUAUAAAUGCCGAAGGCAAGCAUUCACAUUCUUACCAGCCACAAGGGAUAAGAAAUGCAUGCAAAGCACCUAAGGCCAGCGACAGCGCACGUCGUGGUGAAGCCACCUCAGGGGUGUAUUUCAGCCUCUUUGUCCAUAAGACAGGGACACUAUCAUCUUCCUCAAGCACCCUCAGCAAGUGAGGGCCAACUAGAAUGAGAAAACCAUCCCAGGAGAAGGCCGUCCCAGCCACACAGGUGUCUUUACUUAAAAACAA